rnacentral:rRNA from 1 species
AAUCAACGCUGGCGGCGUGCCUAACACAUGCAAGUCGAACGCGAAAGGGGAGCAAUCCCUGAGUAGAGUGGCAAACGGGUGAGUAACACGUGGGUGACCUGCCUUCGAGUGGGGGAUAACGUUCCGAAAGGAACGCUAAUACCGCAUGACAUCCUGCUUUUGGAGAAGCGGAGAUCAAAGCUGGGGAUUCGCAAGAACCUAGCGCUUGAAGAGGGGCCCGCGCCUGAUUAGCUAGUUGGUGGGGUAACGGCUCACCAAGGCUUCGAUCAGUAUCCGGCCUGAGAGGGCGGACGGACACACUGGGACUGAGACACGGCCCAGACUCCUACGGGAGGCAGCAGUGGGGAAUUGUUCGCAAUGGGCGCAAGCCUGACGACGCAACGCCGCGUGGAGGAUGAAGAUUUUCGGAUCGUAAACUCCUGUCGAGUGGGAAGAAUAGCUUCCGGGCGAAUAUCCCGGAAGUCUGACGGUACCA